rnacentral:rRNA from 1 species
AUCACUAAGGCGACCGAUCGUAGUUGUUUGAGAGACGAUCAGCCACACUGGACUGAGACACGCCUAGCUCUACGUAGCAGCAUGCGUAUUUGACAUGGCGAAGCUGAUCAGCAUGCGCUGAUGAGAGGCUCGGCUGUAAGCACUUUGUCGUAGAAUGCUCUGGUAAUACAUGCGCUCGAUGAUGUACCGUACGAUGAGGACCGACUACUACGUGCAGCAGCCGCGGUAAUACGUAGGGUCGAGCGUCAUCGGAAUUACUGGGCGUAAAGCAUGCGCAGGCGGUUGUGCAAGACCGAUGUGAAAUCCCCGAGCUUAACUUCGGGAAUUGCAUUGGUGACUGCACGGCUAGAGUGUGUCAGAGGGGGGUAGGAUUACACGUGUAGCAGUGAAAUGCGUAGAGAUGUGGAGGAAUACCGAUGGCGAAGGCAGCUCUCUGGGAUAACACUGACGCUCAUGCACGAAAGCGUGGGGAGCACACAGGAUUAGAUACCCUGGUAGUCCACGCCCUAAACGAUGUCAACUAGUUGUUGGGGAUUCAUUUCCUUAGUAACGUAGCUAACGCGUGAAGUUGACCGCCUGGGGAGUACGGUCGCAAGAUUAAAACUCAAAGGAAUUGACGGGGACCCGCACAAGCGGUGGAUGAUGUGGAUUAAUUCGAUGCAACGCGAAAAACCUUACCUACCCUUGACAUGCCACUAACGAAGCAGAGAUGCAUUAGGUGCUCGAAAGAGAAAGUGGACACAGGUGCUGCAUGGCUGUCGUCAGCUCGUGUCGUGAGAUGUUGGGUUAAGUCCCGCAACGAGCGCAACCCUUGUCUCUAGUUGCUACGAAAGGGCACUCUAGAGAGACUGCCGGUGACAAACCGGAGGAAGGUGGGGAUGACGUCAAGUCCUCAUGGCCCUUAUGGGUAGGGCUUCACACGUCAUACAAUGGUGCAUACAGAGGGUUGCCAAGCCGCGAGGUGGAGCUAAUCCCAGAAAAUGCAUCGUAGUCCGGAUCGUAGUCUGCAACUCGACUACGUGAAGCUGGAAUCGCUAGUAAUCGCGGAUCAGCAUGCUCGAUCCUU